UACGAAGGGUGCAAGCGUUACUCGGAAUUACUGGGCGUAAAGCGUGCGUAGGUGGUUUGUUAAGUCUGAUGUGAAAGCCCUGGGCUCAACCUGGGAAUGGCAUCGGAAACUGGCUUACUAGAGUGCGGUAGAGGGUAGUGGAAUUCCCGGUGUAGCAGUGAAAUGCGUAGAUAUCGGGAGGAACAUCUGUGGCGAAGGCGACUACCUGGACCAGCACUGACACUGAGGCACGAAAGCGUGGGGAGCAAACAGG
rnacentral:rRNA from 1 species